rnacentral:rRNA from 1 species
AGAGUUUGAUCCUGGCUCAGGAUGAACGCUGGCGGCGUGCCUAAUACAUGCAAGUCGAGCGAACGGACGAGAAGCUUGCUUCUCUGAUGUUAGCGGCGGACGGGUGAGUAACACGUGGAUAACCUACCUAUAAGACUGGGAUAACUUCGGGAAACCGGAGCUAAUACCGGAUAAUAUUUUGAACCGCAUGGUUCAAAAGUGAAAGACGGUCUUGCUGUCACUUAUAGAUGGAUCCGCGCUGCAUUAGCUAGUUGGUAAGGUAACGGCUUACCAAGGCAACGAUGCAUAGCCGACCUGAGAGGGUGAUCGGCCACACUGGAACUGAGACACGGUCCAGACUCCUACGGGAGGCAGCAGUAGGGAAUCUUCCGCAAUGGGCGAAAGCCUGACGGAGCAACGCCGCGUGAGUGAUGAAGGUCUUCGGAUCGUAAAACUCUGUUAUUAGGGAAGAACAUAUGUGUAAGUAACUGUGCACAUCUUGACGGUACCUAAUCAGAAAGCCACGGCUAACUACGUGCCAGCAGCCGCGGUAAUACGUAGGUGGCAAGCGUUAUCCGGAAUUAUUGGGCGUAAAGCGCGCGUAGGCGGUUUUUUAAGUCUGAUGUGAAAGCCCACGGCUCAACCGUGGAGGGUCAUUGGAAACUGGAAAACUUGAGUGCAGAAGAGGAAAGUGGAAUUCCAUGUGUAGCGGUGAAAUGCGCAGAGAUAUGGAGGAACACCAGUGGCGAAGGCGACUUUCUGGUCUGUAACUGACGCUGAUGUGCGAAAGCGUGGGGAUCAAACAGGAUUAGAUACCCUGGUAGUCCACGCCGUAAACGAUGAGUGCUAAGUGUUAGGGGGUUUCCGCCCCUUAGUGCUGCAGCUAACGCAUUAAGCACUCCGCCUGGGGAGUACGACCGCAAGGUUGAAACUCAAAGGAAUUGACGGGGACCCGCACAAGCGGUGGAGCAUGUGGUUUAAUUCGAAGCAACGCGAAGAACCUUACCAAAUCUUGACAUCCUUUGACAACUCUAGAGAUAGAGCCUUCCCCUUCGGGGGACAAAGUGACAGGUGGUGCAUGGUUGUCGUCAGCUCGUGUCGUGAGAUGUUGGGUUAAGUCCCGCAACGAGCGCAACCCUUAAGCUUAGUUGCCAUCAUUAAGUUGGGCACUCUAAGUUGACUGCCGGUGACAAACCGGAGGAAGGUGGGGAUGACGUCAAAUCAUCAUGCCCCUUAUGAUUUGGGCUACACACGUGCUACAAUGGACAAUACAAAGGGCAGCGAAACCGCGAGGUCAAGCAAAUCCCAUAAAGUUGUUCUCAGUUCGGAUUGUAGUCUGCAACUCGACUACAUGAAGCUGGAAUCGCUAGUAAUCGUAGAUCAGCAUGCUACGGUGAAUACGUUCCCGGGUCUUGUACACACCGCCCGUCACACCACGAGAGUUUGUAACACCCGAAGCCGGUGGAGUAACCUUUU